rnacentral:rRNA from 1 species
CCUACGGGAGGCAGCAGUGAGGAAUAUUGGUCAAUGGGAGAGAUCCUGAACCAGCCAAGCCGCGUGAGGGAAGACGGCCCUAUGGGUUGUAAACCUCUUUUGUCGGAGAACAAAACCCGGGACGUGUCCCGGACUGCGUGUAUCCGAAGAAAAAGCAUCGGCUAACUCCGUGCCAGCAGCCGCGGUAAUACGGAGGAUGCGAGCGUUAUCCGGAUUUAUUGGGUUAACAGGGUGCGUAGGCGGUCCGUUAAGUCAGCGGUAAAAUGGCGGGGCUCAACCCCGUCGAGCCGUUGAAACUGGCAGACUUGAGUUGGCGAGAAGUACGCGGAAUGCGCGGUGUAGCGGUGAAAUGCAUAGAUAUCGCGCAGAACUCCGAUUGCGAAGGCAGCGUACCGGCGCCAGACUGACGCUGAGGCACGAAAGCGUGGGGAUCGAACAGGAUUAGAUACCCUUGUAGUC